rnacentral:ncRNA from 2 species
GGACAGAACUCUGGAGAGACCCUUGUCAUAGGGCGCCGAAGGUGCACGGCAGAUGAAUAUAUCUGCUUAAACUCUCAGGCAAAAGGACAGAGAUGGGAAU